UAUAUUUUAGUGUUAUUAUGCACUUUAAUUUUUGAUAUUAAAAGUUUUAAGUAAUUAACUUAAUAAAUAUAA
rnacentral:tRNA from 1 species